ACCAGAAGAGCUGCAGUAUGUUGUCUCCUUAUCCAUGUUUUUCUGUUCUCAUAUGGCCACAGCAUUUAGAAUUAGCAAUUUGGUAAAUGGGUACUUGGUAUAAUUCAUAAUUGAGACCAUAAGUGGUGAUAUACAACAAAACAGGACAGACAUUUAUACACAACGUUAUUAUCUGAAAAAUAAUCACCAUAAUAACUGGAAAUCUCUCUCUCUCUCUCUCUCUCUGAUACAGUCUACUCAGUAAAAUGUCAAGGAUGUUGUGGCUCAAAAACAGAAGAACAGAUGCCGAUCAUCAGGGAUUCAACAAAGGAAAAGGAUGCAUCAGCCAGAUCCAGGAAGAACACUGCAGAAUAUAAAUCAAGCACGCUCACAUGAAGUGGAUGUUGCUCUGGAUGUGGACACAGCUCACCCUAAACUGAAGAUAAAUGGGAAAUCACUACAGUGGAUAGAUGAAUCACAGCAGAGAAACAUUAACAUUGAGAACUGUUUUGAUGAAGAGCCUUUUGUGUUGGGCAAUAUGGGCCGUGCAUGGAAGAGUUACUGGGAGGUGAAUGUGAAGAAGGAUGACUGGGUGCUUGGCGUAGCCAAGGCAACGGCUCACAGGAAGGGGACGUUGGUUUUCAGACCAACAGGUGGCUUCUGGGUAAUCAGACUAUCCAAUGGGCAAAGACUUAAAGCAAUGGAGGAUGAAGAACAUGUUCUUGAGAAAGGUAUUCCAGAUAAAGUUGGUAUCUAUCUGGAUUAUCAGGAAAGGAAGGUGACUUUCUACAAUGCAGAUGACGGCUCAUUCAUCUACUCAUUUAUCAAUGGAGCAAGUUAUCAGGAUGAUGUCCGUCCACUUUUCUCACCCUGGAACAACGAUGCAAAACCAAUCACAAUUCUGUCCAUCACAGCACCAUAGAAAAACAAAAUUGAUCACAUUCCCUGUCUAUCAAUAACUUAUCAUGGUAUCAAGCUAUGUUAAUAUUUUUGAUUAAGUAAUAUCCAGAAUUGUGGAUUAAUUUGUAUGAUCCUUUGCUGUCAUCUAACCAGGCAUCUACGUUGUGUUCCAUUAUCUGUAUUAAUAUACUAAUCAUUCAUUAUUUCAGUAGAUUUUUGUGUAUGAAAUUAAACAAACAUUUUGUUUUAAAAUAUGAAAUGUUGAUUUGUAAAAAAUACAAGAUGUUAUUUGGUAUCUGGAUGUAGAUCUAUUGAUGAGUAGGAUUGAGAAAAACAACUACCUUCUAAUGGCUUGUAUGUAGUUUUGACAAGUUUGGUAAUCAUCCAUCACGUAAAACUUUGAUUAUAUUUACAAUGACCAAGCAUGAAAGCUGGAUUGCCAGAGUUUUGACACAAUAUAUUGACCCUGUAAAGCCUGAAGUUAGUUGUUCAGUGUAACAUCUAUUUUGACCGUAUUUUCAUUACAGACAUUUCUAACAUGCUAGUUCAAUCAGUCUGUGAUAUAAAGUGAUUCUAUAUAUUGUUUUUAAUAGAACUAUGACUGUACAAUAUGAACAUGAAAAAACACCAAUAUGACAAAUGAGUAUGACAAAACGGAAUACAUUAGUCUAUACAUCUUUAUAACAAGGGAUAUUUACUAACUUCACAAUAUUGAGUAUAUAUAGAAUCAAUAUAGAGAUUUUACUACAAAACAGUAGACAAAAAAAGGGCAAAACAUUCUAUCUCACAUCGCUCAGAUCAAUUUCUGUGAGAUAAAAUAAGUAAAAGAUUGAAGUAAUUUAAUCUUCACAAAGUUGAUAAUUGGUAAAGCUAAAUAAAUACUCAAACAAUGGAAGAUAA